rnacentral:rRNA from 1 species
AGCGAACGUUUGCGGCGGGCCUAACACAUGCAAGUCGAACGCACUAGCAAUAGUGAGUGGCGCACGGGUGCGUAACACGUGGGUAAUCAACCCUUCAGCCUGGGAUAACGACUCGAAAGGGUCGCUAAUACCGGAUACGGCGCGAGAGGCUUCGGCUUCUCACGAGAAAGCCACGCAAGGGGCACUGAAGGACGAGCCUGCGGCCCAUCAGCUAGUUGGUGAGGUAAGAGCUCACCAAGGCUAAGACGGGUAGCUGGUCUGAGAGGAUGAUCAGCCACACUGGAACUGAGACACGGUCCAGACUCCUACGGGAGGCAGCAGUGGGGAAUAUUGCGCAAUGGGCGAAAGCCUGACGCAGCCACGCCGCGUGAGCGAUGAAGGCCUGGUCGUAAGACGUCUGUGGGAGGAGACGAAGAAAGACUCGUGAAGAGCGAGGCCGUUCGACGGUAGUCUCCUUACGUCAAGACACCGGCCGUAACUACCGUCG